GGGCUUAUAGCGCAGUGGUAGCGCGCACGCUUUGCAUUAUGCGGUUGUGUGAGGUCCGGAGUUCAAUCCUCCGUGAGUCCA